ACAUUUUUACAUUAGCACAACAAACAGCUUUUCCCUAGUAAGUCCAAUUUCCCAUAGAAAGCAAGGGACUGUAAGUGGUUCCUGUUGUACAACUAACCCUUAACCUGUAAAGCUUCUCAAUUGGAGUCCAUUUGCCCUUUUGUAAAUAAGGGAUGGUGAUAUUGUUACUCAGGCCUAAAAAGCAGGAAAAGUGCAACAAAUCCUUAGGGGUUCGUAAUACAGUGGAUUCCCCCUUCUGCAAUGUUUGGAAAAAUUUGUAACCCUAAGCUAGCAGAUCGGAAAAGCACA